rnacentral:rRNA from 1 species
AUACGAAAGGUGCGAGCGUUGUUCGGAUUUACUGGGCGUAAAGCGAGUGUAGGUGGUUUGUUAAGUCGGAUGUGAAAUCCCGGGGCUCAACCUCGGAACUGCAUUCGAUACUGGCAGGCUAGAGUUCGGGAGGGGUAAGCGGAAUUCCGUGUGUAGCAAUGAAAUGCGUAGAUAUACGGAGGAACACCUGAGGCGAAGGCGGCUUACUGGACCGAUUCUGACACUGAGACUCGAAAGCGUGGGUAGCAAACAGGAUUAGAAACCCUAGUAGUCC